UACGUAGGGUGCGAGCGUUAAUCGGAAUUACUGGGCGUAAAGCGUGCGCAGGCGGUUUUGUAAGCCAGGUGUGAAAUCCCCGGGCUCAACCUGGGAAUGGCAUUUGGGACUGCAAGGCUGGAGUGCGGCAGAGGAGACUGGAAUUCCUGGUGUAGCAGUGAAAUGCGUAGAUAUCAGGAGGAACACCGAUGGCGAAGGCAGGUCUCUGGGCUGGUACUGACGCUCAGGAGCGAAAGCGUGGGGAGCGAUCCGG
rnacentral:rRNA from 1 species